rnacentral:misc_RNA from 1 species
GGAAGGAUCAUUAACAAAUUCCAAAACACGUGGUUGUCUAUUGGUUGGUUGAUUGAGAAGAUCAAUUAAUCAUCCAAUAGUACAUAUCAACAAAACAUUUACAUUUAAGAUUGACAAACAAUGGAGAACCAAAAAACGUUUAAUCGUAAACAACUUUUAACAAUGGAUCUCUUGGCUCUUGCAACGAUGAAGAACGCAGCGAACUGCGAAACGUGAUGUGAACUGCACUCUUCGUGAAUCAUCCAAUCUUUGAACGCACUUGCACCUUGUGGCUUUUGUCACAAGGUAUACUUGUUGAGUAUCACAAACAACCUCACCUCCCUUCCGGGGCGAAGUGAACUUGAGAUUUGACAAGCCUGCAGUGCAGUGUAUAUGUAUGUAUUUAUUAUAUGUCAUGUAUAUGUGUGCAUGUAGCAUCGUCAUUUCUUUAAAGACGUGGCCAUUUCUGGUUCGUCUUCAUCUGGCGUCUGACAGACCAUUGGGAUAACAUCCUAACGAUCGUCUGUUGGACGCGCACUCUUUCCUCAGAAAUGAUGGAUUGAUUAUUAGGUGUUGACCAACUUGGCCAAUCUUGGAGCAUUGUUCUGUGUCUCAUCAUCCCAUUUGUUAGUUAUAUGAUGAAUGGGAAAAGACACACGCACUCUUCUCCAUUGAAAGAUGAUUAUUUCGAUCAUCUUUCGUGAAAUGGAUCUCAAAUCAAGUAAGGAUACCCGCUGAACUUAAGCAUAUCAGUAAGCGGAGGAAAAGAAACUAACAAGGAUUCCCCUAGUAAACGGCGAGUGAAGCGGGAAGAGCUCAAAUUUAAAAUCUGACACCCUCUGUGGGUGCCCGAGUUGUCAUUGAGAGGGUCUUCUUUUGAAAAGGGUGAUGGCCAAAGUUCUCUGGAAAGGGACAACAAAGAGGGUGAAAUUCCCGUCUGGGUCAUUGCUUGGAUCAAUCAUAAAGGAGGCUCUAAGAGUCGGAUUGUUUGGGAAUGCAGUCCAAAUGGGUGGUACAUUUCAUCUAAAGCUAAAUAUUGGCAAGAGACCGAUAGCGAACAAGUACCGUGAGGGAAAGAUGAAAAGAACUUUGAAAAGAGAGUUAAAUAGUACGUGAAAUUGUUAAAAGGGAAACGAUUGAGACCAGUGAUGUGUUGUGUCCUUGAGUACACCUUUCGGGGUGUAUGUUUGGGCAUGACACGCGUCGACGCUUCUUUUAUGCCUUGGAAAAGACAAAAGGAAAGAUGGCUCCACCUUUGGGUGGCUGCUUUAUGGUCCUUUUGGGAUACAAGGUAUGUUUGGGAGAAGACAAGUAGCGUUGCAAGACGCACGUCGACGAAAUGGUCUUAAACGACCCGUCUUGAAACACGGACCAAGGAGUCUAACAACUAUGCCGAGUAUUUGAGUGGCAAACUCGAAUGCGUAAAGAAACUGAACGCGUGGGACUUUUCUCUCGUAAGAGAGAGUAAUGGCACCAUGGGCCGGUCCUUGUCUUUGACUUGGAUUGCGCUAGAGCAUAUCUGUUGGGACCCGAAAGAUGGUGAACUAUGCCUGAAUAGGGUGAAGCCAGGGGAAACUCUGGUGGAGGCUCGUAGACAUUCUGACGUGCAAAUCGAUGUUCAAAUUUGGGUAUAGGGGCGAAAGACUAAUCGAACCAUCUAGUAGCUGGUUCCCUC